UGUUAUGACAACAAGUUGUGGAUCGUUUCUCGAUGUUCGAGCCAACGGGUCUUGUAGAAUAAACGCUUUCAUAUGAGAAAGUUCCACAUUAAAACUUUGACAAUAAUUGUACUUUUUUUUUCUGCAAUAUUGAUGAAAUUUUUUUUCAUCGUAUCUGUUCGACUCUGCUCAUUAAAAUUGUGGAGUAAGUCAAUUAAUUAAUAGAAACGUUGAAAGUGAAUGAUUAGUUUUAAGGACUCUGCCUGAAUUUUUCUUCGUUCCUGAGACUGGAGACGACAAAAAAAUGGAACAAUAUUAAUCUUGGAAAAUCGACGCGGAAGUAUUGCAGAGAAAAGAAUUUCAAACGUUCUUAUCUCUACUAAAGCAAAAUUACUCUUUGGGCUGCGAGGCAUUUGACACUGGAAAAAACGCAGGCUGCUUCGUGAAACGGCAGCAUGCAAUUUUUUUUAGGUCCUCCUUGGUCAAGGCCAGUCCUGCGGAACACACGUUUUCUAUGAGGCGAUGUUGCGUUGUGACGUAAAUGGUCAGUUUUUUAUUUUUCUUUUUGCUAAUGGACAAUAAAUAGAACGAGGGCGUAAAAAGAUUGUGCAUCAUAGAAGAUGGCUAUAAACUUUCGGUUUUUAUUGUAGUUUAACACGAAUGAAAAUCUGUGGAAAAAGUCCUGUAUAGUUCCAAAAAUAAAAAUUUUUUUGUCAACCUCGAA